AUUCUUUCGCAGAGGCAAUAUUGUAGCCUAUGAGGUUUAUCCGAGCGCGAUCAUUGCUGGUUGAAAACUUUACCCAAUACCCCGCCAGGAUGACUUGAAAUACAGUCAGCCUUGGCAAUUUUUUUGCCAGCUUCUGUGGAAG
ensembl:snRNA U4 U4 spliceosomal RNA